UACGUAGGGUGCAAGCGUUAAUCGGAAUUACUGGGCGUAAAGCGUGCGCAGGCGGUUUUGUAAGUCUGUCGUGAAAUCCCCGGGCUCAACCUGGGAAUGGCGAUGGAGACUGCAAGGCUAGAGUUUGGCAGAGGGGGGGGUAGAAUUCCACGUGUAGCAGUGAAAUGCGUAGAUAUGUGGAGGAACACCGAUGGCGAAGGCAGCCCCCUGGGUCAAAACUGACGCUCAUGCACGAAAGCGUGGGGAGCAAACAGG
rnacentral:rRNA from 1 species